AGCUCCAAUAGCGUAUAUUAAAGUUGUUGCAGUUAAAAAGCUCGUAGUUGGAUUUGUGGCUGUCUCGAGCAGCCUGGCACUUUGUGCUAGCGCUUGCUUGAGUCGCCAUCCUUGGGUGGAUCCUGUGUGGCAUUAGGUUGUCGUGCAGGGGAUGCCCAUCGUUUACUGUGAAAAAAUUAGAGUGUUCAAAGCAGGCUUAUGCCGUUGAAUAUAUUAGCAUGGAAUAAUAAGAUAGGACCUUGGUACUAUUUUGUUGGUUUGCGCACCAAGGUAAUGAUUAAUAGGGACA
rnacentral:rRNA from 1 species